GAUGAACGCUAGCGGGAGGCCUAACACAUGCAAGCCGAGCGGUAUUGUUUCUUCGGAAAUGAGAGAGCGGCGUACGGGUGCGGAACACGUGUGCAACCUGCCUUUAUCUGGGGGAUAGCCUUUCGAAAGGGAGAUUAAUACUCCAUAAUAUAUUGAACGGCAUCGUUUAAUAUUGAAAGCUCCGGCGGAUAGAGAUGGGCACGCGCAAGAUUAGCUAGUUGGUGAGGUAACGGCUCACCAAGGCGAUGACCUUUAGGGGGCCUGAGAGGGUGAUCCCCCACACUGGUACUGAGACACGGACCAGACUCCUACGGGAGGCAGCAGUGAGGAAUAUUGGUCAAUGGGUGCAAGCCUGAACCAGCCAUCCCGCGUGAAGGACGACUGCCCUAUGGGUUGUAAACUUCUUUUGUAUAGGGAUAAACCUACCCUCGUGAGGGUAGCUGAAGGUACUAUACGAAUAAGCACCGGCUAACUCCGUGCCAGCAGCCGCCGUAACAC
rnacentral:rRNA from 1 species